CAUCAUCAUGGAUUAUAAAAAAUGGACUCGCUUAAAUUUGUCAUACAUUCUAAGUCAAAGAAAGGCGGAUACGUCGAAGACAAACUUAAAAUACAAAACAAAAACAAAAACAAAAAACAAAAAUCACAAGAAAGCACAGAAAACCUUAGACUGAGUAACAAGAACCCCAGCAAUAACCGAUGAUCUGCUAUAAAGGGGUAAGCAGAUCCUGCUUCACAUGGAUCAC
rnacentral:lncRNA from 1 species